GUGGGGAAUCUUCCGCAAUGGGCGAAAGCCUGACGGAGCAACGCCGCGUGAACGAGGAAGGUCUUCGGAUCGUAAAGUUCUGUUGCAGGGGACGAACGGCAUUGGCAGAAAUACUGUCAGUGAGUGACGGUACCCUGUUAGAAAGCCACGGCUAACUACGUGCCAGCAGCCGCGGUAAUACGUAGGCGGCAAGCGUUGUCCGGAAUCAUUGGACGUAAAGGGAGCGCAGGCGGACAUUUAAGCGGAUCUUAAAAGUGCGGGGCUUAACCCCGUGAUGGGGUCCGAACUGAAUGUCUUGAGUGCAGGAGAGGAAAGCGGAAUUCCCAGUGUAGCGGUGAAAUGCGUAGAUAUUGGGAAGAACACCAGUGGCGAAGGCGGCUUUCUGGACUGUAACUGACGCUGAGGCUCGAAAGCCAGGGUAGCGAACGGGAUUAGAAACCCCAGUAGUCC
rnacentral:rRNA from 1 species